GAUGAAUGACAAAUUUUGAGUUCGUUGGAAUAGGGACGAACAAUGCCUGGUCAGCAGAAGUCGCAUGUGUGAUCAUUUCACUGCCUUCGAGCUUCAAGUGGAGCACAGUUCAUCUUCUUCACCUCUAGCAUAGCCUAUCCAUCCUAUUUCCAAUACUUGUAUAAAGAUGUACAGUUCAUGUUUGGUAUAGUAAUACUGAAAUCAGAUUUUAGCUCUUUUUUCCUUCUUCUUUAAUAUUAUCCCAUGCUAUCAAAUCAUCCAUCCCAAACAUGCCGUCAAGAGUCUCUGUGUACGCAGACGAGUCUACUCUUGACUCAUGCUCAGCACUAUGUAAAUUUUAGUGUCAAUAGAACCAAGGAUUUUGUUAAUGAACAGCACUUAUGAAUCAGACACAAGUUUCUUCUACUCUGUUCGUUUCCUGUCUGGAAGUGUUGACACGUUGUGUUGAUGAUCAUCAACCGAAGUAAAAGUUUCUAACGAUACAACUCUUGACCCUAGACCACUGGUUUUGGACCACUCGAGAGUUGGCACGUUAGCUUACGUGCUGUUCGGUGUCCAAAAUAGUCCCUAGAUGAACCGAGUGGUUUGUAGGGAAAAGUCCUUCGUCGUCGUUAGCAAUUCUGAAUGUGAUCAUCAAGAACUUGAUAGGCAGCAUAAUAAAGAGACCCCAUAAACAUACAAAUCAAAGUGAUUAUAAUUGGCAAGGAGAAUCACCUUCAUUCAUUUUUACACGAUAUCGUAAAUAAUACUACAAGUGGUUGAAAGCACACGAUUUUGGUGCACUCAACAAUUUCAUCAAUCAACUUAACUACACACGUCGUAGCAAAUAGCAUUCACACAAUACAACUGCAAAUUUCUGCAGAAGAAGCUUCACAUUAACUUUAAGAAUGUCGUCUUCUUCGCUAAGAAUUCUAAAAAUAUCAGCAAUGGACGCCUAAUACAGUACCUCUAGUAACCUCAAUUAUCACACCACACCUAACUCCACUAUCCACUUUAUGUGUGAAUACCUUCAAAACCCUGACCCUCCCUACUAACUUCAUCCGAGUCUCAAUCUCCAUUGUGUUCCCGGCCAGAAUUCCACCAUUGCUGAAACUAUUACUGUUGUCGAACCCUAAUCCGCCAUCACCCCCGCUAACGACCGCUUUGGCCGGAGUUGGGAGGGGGUACUUCUGGACAUCAAAUUUGGCGGACAUUUUCUGACUGCCGCCGCCACCGAUCCUUCCGGCGGGAAUGAACACGAGACCCAUCGGCUCCCCGGAGUAGACGAGCUGCAAAGAGCUGUCAUAGUGAGAAAAUUCGUCGCGGUUGGGGUUGGUCACUGUCACGAACUGGAAGAAUUCGAAAUUGACGGUGCCAUUCGUGACGGAGAAUGCCGGGAACUGCACGGCGUCGACGGCGAUUUUCGGUGGUUUAGGCUUGAACAGGAAGAAGUAAACCGCGACUGCGCCGGCAACAAUUGAAAGCAAGAAAACUGUAGCCGCUACACAUGAUGCUAAAUUCGUACUCCCACGGUUGGAUUUCGUAUAACGGUCAUCAGAUCUAGGAAAUUGAGGUUGCUGCAUUUCUUGUACAGUGAUUUAGUGAGAGAAAAUUAGCAAAAAUCUAUGGGACUGAAAAUAAAGAAUGGAAUUUAGUGGGCUUGCUACUUUUUAUCAAGAACAAAAAAGAGAUUUUCCACGUCAUCAAUCAUGCUGCUUUGGGGAUUAAAGUAAGUUUUUCCUUUUAAGGGUUAAUGCCUUAUGACCGGAGAGAAAUGGUGGUGGCCGCGGUGGAGGCUAUGGGCGGUUGUGGUGGAGGUUGGUGUAAGGUGAGGUUAAUAUUCAGAUGAAUUUGAGUGAGGGAUAAGGGUGGUAUGAUUGUGUCUGAAGUAAAUUGGCCAUCAAGGUAGGUGUUUUAUGUUCGUUAGGUCCCUUGUGAUGGAUGAAAUUAAUUAACAAUGAUGAUGAUUGGUGAAGACGUAAAUUUUAACAUUCUUUUAUAUUAUAAUUAUUUGAGACUUCUUAAUCCUCCGAUUAUAUUUUUUAUUUUAUUUUUUUCUAAUUGAAUCGAAUUCUGAUAUAUCCUAUAACCUACACUGAAUCAUCCUUAUGAACCGAAACAUGGUGUGCAUCAAUGAUGAGCUUUCGUUUGUAGAAAAAAAAAUGAUUUUGAAAAAAGAAAAUGAAUUUGUUGAUAAUAAGACUCAAACAAGGACUUUAAAUGUCGAACAUCACUAAUUACAAGACUCAACAUUAAGAUAAAAAAAAAUACUAACACUUUACUUCUAUCUAAUCAGUGCUCUCCAAUCUAUGCUACCAAAUGAAGAACAUCAACCCCUUCCUUGUAUUAGUCCUAAAUACAUGUUUCGUAAAUAGUAUUAAAACGGGCAUUUGUUAUAUCCUUGAACUUAUAUACCACUAGACAAGGCUAACCGUAUUGUAAAGGUUCCCAUUAAUCAAAUGGGAUGAUUGUAAGUGAAUGUUCAAAGGAAAACCUGUGUGUACAUUUAACAUUGCAGUCAUUCACAAAAACACAAGCAGAAGUCGCAUGUGUGAUCAUUUCACUGCCUUCGAGCUUCAAGUGGAGCACAGUUCAUCUUCUUCACCUCUAGCAUAGCCUAUCCAUCCUAUUUCCAAUACUUGUAUAAAGAUGUACAGUUCAUGUUUGGUAUAGUAAUACUGAAAUCAGAUUUUAGCUCUUUUUUCCUUCUUCUUUAAUAUUAUCCCAUGCUAUCAAAUCAUCCAUCCCAAACAUGCCGUCAAGAG
rnacentral:lncRNA from 1 species